AGCAGUCGCCACGGGAAUACGUAGGGUGCAAGCGUUAAUCGGAAUUACUGGGCGUAAAGCGUGCGCAGGCGGUUUUGUAAGACAGAGGUGAAAUCCCCGGGCUCAACCUGGGAACUGCCUUUGUGACUGCAAGGCUAGAGUACGGCAGAGGGGGAUGGAAUUCCGCGUGUAGCAGUGAAAUGCGUAGAUAUGCGGAGGAACACCGAUGGCGAAGGCAAUCCCCUGGGCCUGUACUGACGCUCAUGCACGAAAGCGUGGGGAGCAAACAGGAUUAGAUACCCCAGUAGUCCCUGUCUCUUAUAA
rnacentral:rRNA from 1 species